rnacentral:lncRNA from 1 species
AUAGUUGGUUUACCAUGAUGGUUUUGCUUGAAUGUUUGAAUGUUGGAUGUUUGGGUUGCUGAUUUUUUUUGAAAACAAUGUGUUUUGCUUGACUUUCGUGCUAACUUUCUCCAUGAUUAAUCCAUCCUUUUGAGAUUUUUGUUGACAUGGUUGUGUUCUACUCUAUGAGAUCUGCAUUUUUGCUUUUGAUUUCAUUUAAUUUCAUGGAUUGUGGAUAAAGUUAUGCAUGUGUGAAGUUGUUGUAUAGGAUUGCAUGGGAUUAGGGUUUAAUUUGUGUUUAAGUUUUGAACCAAGGUUUAAGAUGAUAUGUGGAGUGUUUUGAUUGGCUGGCUUUUAUUUUUGUCGUUUCUGACUUAAGUGGGUGUGACCGAUUGAUGUCGAGUUACAUGUUUUUGUGUUUUAUUUAAAAUGUCACGCCCUUUUUAAUUACGAUUAAUUGGUUUGGAUCUUGGGCCUUGCACUUUUGGUUUUCCCACCCCCAUUCUUUUGGCCCAUGCACGUGUUUCACUUGGUUUCAAUUCAUUUCUCUUUUACUCAUGCACCCCCAUUAUUCCUUUAACCUUAUUUUAUUUCUUUUGUUUUAUCUUGAUAUUCUGAUUUUAUUUUAAUAUUUCCAAUGCUCCAAAAUAUCUACAAAACUACAUGAUUAUAUUUUAGCAUGUUAUUUAAUUUUUUAUAUUUUUUAUUUUAUUUUUCUAAUUGUUUUAAUAUUUUAUUUUAAUUAUAUCAUAACAUGUGUUUAGCUUGACCUAAUUUUCGAUUUAGGGUUUGAUUCUUGAUGCUUCCUUUUGACUUUUAAUCCCAAAUUUUGUACACACUUAGGCACAUGUAUGUAGGACAUUUGGGUAUUAUUUUGAUUAUUUAAUCUUUCAUUUUGGGUCAUUUUUUAGUCUAAUAUUGAUGCUUAACUUGUAUGAUUAAUGAUGGAUUGUAAUGCUUGAUGAUUGAUGCCAUGUUGAACUUGUUCUUGAGACAAUCUUUUGGGAAUUUUUAGACACCUAUUUGCUUAGGGUUUAAGUGUGUAUUUGAGUACUUUUGAUGUCAAAUUGAUGCAUGUCUAUUUAGUUUUUAUGAGCCUUGAUUUCAUGCUUAUUUGUUGAGAUACUUGUGGAUAAUUGUUGAUUGCUUGAGUGACUUCUUGACCACGCUCUUAGACACAUGUUAGGACACUUAUGAGUUGCUGAAUUCUUGAUGCUUUGUUAAUUUUCCCCUUAUUUUUGGAGCCUCCUAAAUAUUUAUUUUGAGUGAUACAAUGCAUGUCUAUUUGAUUUCCUUUUGUUUGCUUUGGUUGUUUGUUUAGGGAAUGCACUUGUGCAACCAUUUAGGGUUUGUUGUCCUCUCUUGUUCUUGAUUGAGAUACCAUGAGGUAGAGCCCAUUUAGUCAUUUGUAUAGGUCAUUUCAUUCCAUUUGUUUGUGAUUAAAAUUGAGUUUUGAUCAUGAUGUUUGUUUUCCCACUUUGUGAUCUUUCCUUAAGCAUACUCUGAGCCAUGAAUUCUCAAUGUUUGGUUGGCUUACAUGAUUAAUAUAGCAUACCAUUUUCCUAUGACUUGUGGUUUUUGAUACCUAAUUUCCAUGUUUCAUUCUCACUUUUUCUUAACAUGAUGUUUGUUUCCAUUUAGAGGCAUGUUUAGGUUCCACCAUGUUCACCUUUUACUUCCCUCUUUGAGUGUGGUUUGAUAUGAAACUUUGGUGAUGAUUUUAGGUAUUCAAUAUGUGAUUAUGCCAUGUAUAAACCAUUUACUUCCCUUGUUUGAUUGCCUAAUUUUUUUCCUUGUGCCCAUCCUUUUUUGU